GUUCCUACAACUAUAUCUCCAGCUACCACUACACCUGAUGUACUUACUACAACAGUCACAACUGCAGCUCCUGUUACAACAACUGUAGCUUCUACGUCAAGCAUAGCAGCUGCCUCUACGAUAACCACUGCUGCUAUUACUACAAAAACUGCUGCUCCAAUAACCACUACAACUCCCGAAACUAAUACGACAGAACCUACUCCUACGACUGCUUCGACUGCAGAACCUAUCACGACNNNNNNNNNNUACAGCUCCAGAACCUAUUACGACAACCACUGCAGCUCCUGCUAAAACAACUACAAUUUCAGCUCCUACUACAACAACAGCACCUCCAACAACUGUAGCUCCCACGAUAACUGCAGCUCCUACAACCGCUUUAGCAUCUUCUUCAACCACAGCUCCUGAUACAACAACUGUAACUUCUACGUCAACAGCAGCAGCUUCCUCUACGACAACCACAGCAGCUCUAACUACAACAAUUGCUGCUCCAACGACCACUACAACUCUAGAACCUAUUACGACAACCACAACAACUGCACCUACUACAACACCUGCAUCUCCUACAACUGUAGCUCCAGCUACCACUACACCUGAUGUACUUAUUACAACAUUCACAACUACAGCUCCUGCUACAACAACGGUAGCUUCUACGUCAAGAAUAGCAGCUGCCUCUACGAUAACCACUGCUGCUCUUACUACAACAACUGCUGCUCCAAUAACCACUACAUCUCCAGAAACUAAUACGACAGAACCUACUCCUACGACUGCUACAACUGCAGAACCUACCAUGACAGCCACUUUAGCUUCUACUACAAACAUUGCUGUUCCUGUUCCAUCUGCCUCUACGAUAACCACUGCAGUUCUAACUAAAACAACGACUGCACCUUCGACCACUACAUCUCCAGAACCUGCUCUGACAGAACCUACUCCUACUAAUGCUACAACUGUAGUACCUACCAAGACAGCCACUGCAGCUCUAACUAAAACAAAUGCUGCUCCAACGACCACUACAAGUCCUGAACCUAUUAUAACAACCGCUGCAGCUCCUACCACACCAGCUGCUAUUCUUAUGACCACCACGACUGCAGCACCAUCUUCAACAACUACAACUUUAGCUCCUACGACAACCACUUCAACAGCACCUACUACAACAACUGCAGUUCUUACAACUGUAUCUCCAGCUACCACUACACCUGAUGUACUUACUACAACAUCCACAACUACAGCUCCUGCUACAACAACUGUAGCUUCUACGUCAAGCAUAGCAGCUGCCUCUACGAUAACCACUGCUGCUCUUACUACAACAACUGCUGCUCCAAUAACCACUACAUCUCCAGACACUAAUACGACAGAACCUACUCCUACGACUGCUACAGCUGCAGAACCUACCACGACAGCCACUUUAGCUUCUACUACAAACCCUGCUGUUCUUAUGGCCACAACUACUGCAGCACCUUCUACAUCAACUACAGCUUUAGAUCCUACGACAACCACUUCAACAGCACCUACUACAACACAUGCAGUUCCUACAACUGUAGCUCCUACUACCACUAUACCUGCUGUUCUUACUACAACAAUCACAUCUCCAGCUCCUGCUACCACAACUGUAGCUUCUAUUUCAACUACAGCAGCUGUCUCUACAAUAACCACUGCAGCUCUAGCUAAAACAACGGCUGCUCCUUCGACCACUACAUCUCCAGAACCUGCUCUGACAGAACCUACUCCUACUAAUGCUACGACUGCAGAACCUACCACGACAGCCACUGCAGCUCUAACUAAAACAACUGCUGCUCAAAUGACCACUACAGCUCCUGAACCUAUUAUGACAACAGCUGCAGCUCCUACUACACCAACUGCUAUUCUUACGACCACCACGACAGCAGCACCAUCUUCAACAACUACAACUUUAGCUCCUACGACAACCACUUCAACAGCAACUACUACAAUACCUGCAGUUCCUACAACUGUAUCUCCAGCUACCACUACACCUGAUGUACUUACUACAACAAUCACAACUACAGCUCCUGCUACAACAACUGUAGCUUCUACGUCAAGCAUAGCAGCUGCCUCUACGAUAACCACUGCUGCUAUUACUACAAAAACUGCUGCUCCAAUAACCACUACAACUCCCAAAACUAAUACGACAGAACCUACUCCUACGACUGCUUCGACUGCAGAACCUAUCACGACAGCCACUUUAGCUUCUACGACAAACUCUGCUGUUCUUACAACCACAACGACUGCAGCACCUUUUACAACAACUACAACUUCAGCUCCGACGACAACCAAAACAAAGGCACCUACUACAACACCUGUAGUUCCUACAACUGUAACUUCAGCGACCACUACACCUGAUAUACUUACAAUAACACUCACAACUGCAGCUCCUGCUACAACAACUGUAGCUUCUACGUCAACCACAGCAUCUGCCCCUACGAUAACCACUGCAACUCUAACUAAAACAACGGCUGCUCCAACGACCACUACAUCUACAGAACCUGCUCUGACAGAACCUACCCCUACUAAUGCUACGAUUGCAGAACCUACCAUCACAGCUACUGCAGCUCUAACUAAAACAACUGCUGCUCCAACGACCACUACAACUCCUGAACCUAUUAUGACAACUGCUGCAGCUCCGACUACGCCAACUGCUAUUCUUACGACCACCACGACUGUAGCACCAUCUUCAACAACUACAACUUUCGCUCCCUCGUCAACCACAACAACUGCACCUACUACAACACCUGCAGCUCCUACAAUUGUAGCUCCAGUUACCACAACACCUGAUGUACUUACUACAACAAUCACAACUACAGCUCCUGCUACAACAACUGUAGCUUCUACGUCAACCACAGCAUCUGCCUCUACGAUAACCACUGCUGCUCUUACUACAACAACUGCUGCUCCAAUAACCACUACAUCUCCAGAAACUAAUACGACAGAACCUACUCCUACGACUGCUACGACUGCAGAACCUACCACGACAGCCACUUUAGCUUCUACUACAAACACUGCUGUUCUUACGACCACAACUACUGCAGCACCUUCUACAACAACUACAACUUUAGCUCCUACGACAACCACUUCAACAGCACCUACUACAAUACCUGCAGUUUCUACAAUUGUAGCUCCAGCUACCACUACACCUGCUGUACUUACUACAACAGUCACAACUGCAGCUCCUGUUACAACAACUGUAGCUUCUACGUCAACCACAGCAUCUGCCUCUACGAUUACCACUGCAGCUCUAACUAAAACAACGGCUGCUCAUUCGACCACUACAUCUCCAGAACCUGCUCUGACAGAACCUACUCCAACUUUAGCUCCUACGACAACCACUUCAACAGCACCUACUACAAUACCUGCAGUUCCUACAAUUGUAGCUCCAGCUACCACUACACCUGCUGUACUUACUACAACAGUCACAACUGCAGCUCCUGUUACAACAACUGUAGCUUCUACGUCAAGCAUAGCAGCUGCCUCUACGAUAACCACUGCUGCUUUUACUACAAAAACUGCUGCUCCAAUAACCACUACAACUCCCGAAACUAAUACGACAGAACCUACUCCUACGACUGCUUCGACUGCAGAACCUAUCACGACAGCCACUUUAGCUUCUACGACAAACUCUGCUGUUCUUACGACCGCAACGACUGCAGCACCUUCUACAAGAACUACAACUUCAGCUCCGACAACAACCACAACAAAAGCACCUACUACAACACCGGCAGUUCCUACAACUGUAACUUCAGCGACCACUACACCUGCUGUUCUUACUACAACAAUCACAUCUGCAGCUCCUGCUACAACAACUGUAGCUUUUAUUUCAACUACAGCAGCUGCCUCUACAAUAACCACUGCAGCUCUAACUAAAACAACUGCUGCUCCAACGACCACUACAGCUCCUGAACCUAUUGUGACAACAGAUGCAGCUCCGACUACACCAACUGCUAUUCUUACGACCACCACGACUGCAGCACCAUCUUCAACAACUACAACUUUAGCUCCUACGACAACCACUUCAACAGCACCUACUACAAUACCUGCAGUUCCUACAAUUGUAGCUCCAGCUACCACUACACCUGCUGUACUUACUACAACAGUCACAACUGCAGCUCCUGUUACAACAACUGUAGCUUCUACGUCAACCACAGCAUCUGCCUCUACGAUUACCACUGCAGCUCUAACUAAAACAACGGCUGCUCAUUCGACCACUACAUCUCCAGAACCUGCUCUGACAGAACCUACUCCUACUAAUGCUACGACUGCAGAACCUACCACGACAGCCAGUGCAGCUCUAACUAAAACAACUGCUGCUCCAAUGACCACUACAACUUCUGAACCUAUAACGACAACUGCUGCAGCUCCGACUACACCAACUGCUAUUCUUACAACCACCAGGACUGCAGCACCAUCUUCAACAACUACAACUUUAGCUCCUACGACAACCACUUCAACAGCACCUACUACAAUACCUGCAGUUCCUACAAUUGUAGCUCCAGCUACCACUACACCUGCUGUACUUACUACAACAGUCACAACUGCAGCUCCUGUUACAACAACUGUAGCUUCUACGUCAACCACAGCAUCUGCCUCUACGAUUACCACUGCAGCUCUAACUAAAACAACGGCUGCUCAUUCGACCACUACAUCUCCAGAACCUGCUCUGACAGAACCUACUCCUACUAAUGCUACGACUGCAGAACCUACCACGACAGCCAGUGCAGCUCUAACUAAAACAACUGCUGCUCCAACGACCACUACAACUUCUGAACCUAUAACGACAACUGCUGCAGCUCCGACUACACCAACUGCUAUUCUUACAACCACCACGACUGCAGCACCAUCUUCAACAACUACAACUUUAGCUCCUACGACAACCACUUCAACAGCACCUACUACAACACCUGCAGUUCCUACAACUAUAUCUCCAGCUACCACUACACCUGAUGUACUUACUACAACAGUCACAACUGCAGCUCCUGUUACAACAACUGUAGCUUCUACGUCAAGCAUAGCAGCUGCCUCUACGAUAACCACUGCUGCUAUUACUACAAAAACUGCUGCUCCAAUAACCACUACAACUCCCGAAACUAAUACGACAGAACCUACUCCUACGACUGCUUCGACUGCAGAACCUAUCACGACAGCCACUUUAGCUUCUACGACAAACUCUGCUGUUCUUACGACCGCAACGACUGCAGCACCUUCUACAACAACUACAACUUCAGCUCCGACAACAACCACAACAAAAGCACCUACUACAACACCGGCAGUUCCUACAACUGUAACUUCAGCGACCACUACACCUGAUAUACUUACAAUAACAAUCACAACUGCAGCUCCUGCUACAACAACUGUAGCUUCUACGUCAACCACAGCAUCUGCCUCUACGAUUACCACUGCAACUCUAACUAAAACAACGGCUGCUCCAACGACCACUACAUCUCCAGAACCUGCUCUGACAGAACCUACUCCUACUAAUGCUACGAUUGCAGAACCUACCACGACAGCCAGUGCAGCUCUAACUAAAACAACUGCUGCUCCAACGACCACUACAACUUCUGAACCUAUAACGACAACUGCUGCAGCUCCGACUACACCAACUGCUAUUCUUACAACCACCACGACUGCAGCACCAUCUUCAACAACUACAACUUUAGCUCCUACGACAACCACUUCAACAGCACCUACUACAACACCUGCAGUUCCUACAACUAUAUCUCCAGCUACCACUACACCUGAUGUACUUACUACAACAGUCACAACUGCAGCUCCUGUUACAACAACUGUAGCUUCUACGUCAAGCAUAGCAGCUGCCUCUACGAUAACCACUGCUGCUAUUACUACAAAAACUGCUGCUCCAAUAACCACUACAACUCCCGAAACUAAUACGACAGAACCUACUCCUACGACUGCUUCGACUGCAGAACCUAUCACGACAGCCACUUUAGCUUCUACGACAAACUCUGCUGUUCUUACGACCGCAAAGACUGCAGCACCUUCUACAACAACUACAACUUCAGCUCCGACAACAACCACAACAAAAGCACCUACUACAACACCGGCAGUUCCUACAACUGUAACUUCAGCGACCACUACACCUGAUAUACUUACAAUAACAAUCACAACUGCAGCUCCUGCUACAACAACUGUAGCUUCUGCGUCAACCACAGCAUCUGCCCCUACGAUAAGCACUGCAACUCUAACUAAAACAACGGCUGCUCCAACGACCACUACAUCUCCAGAACCUGCUCUGACAGAACCUACUCCUACUAAUGCUACGACUGCAGAACCUACCACGACAGCCAGUGCAGCUCUAACUAAAACAACUGCUGCUCCAAAGACCACUACAACUCCUGAACCUAUUAUGACAACUGCUGCAGCUCCGAUUACACCAACUGCUAUUCUUACGACCACCACGACUGUAGCACCAUCUUCAACAACUACCACUUUAGCUCCUACGUCAACCACAACAACUGCACCUACUACAACAACUACAACUUUAGAUCCUACGACAACCACUUCAACAGCACCUACUACAACACAUGCAGUUCCUACAACUGUAGCUCCUACUAUCACUACACCUGCUGUUCUUACUACAACAAUCACAUCUGCAGCUCCUGCUACAACAACUGUAGCUUAUAUUUCAACUACAGCAGCUGCCUCUACAAUAACCACUGCAGCUCUAACUAAAACAACUGCUGCUCCAGCGACCACUACAGCUCCUGAACCUAUUGUGACAACAGAUGCAGCUCCGACUACACCAACUGCUAUUCUUACGACCACCACGACUGCAGCACCAAUUUCAACAACUACAACUUUAGCUCCUACGACAACCACUUCAACAGCACCUACUACAAUACCUGCAGUUCCUACAAUUGUAGCUCCAGCUACCACUACACCUGCUGUACUUACUACAACAGUCACAACUGCAGUUCCUGUUACAACAACUGUAGCUUCUACGUCAACCACAGCAUCUGCCUCUACGAUUACCACUGCAGCUCUAACUAAAACAAUGGCUGCUCAUUCGACCACUACAUCUCCAGAACCUGCUCUGACAGAACCUACUCCUACUAAUGCUACGACUGCAGAACCUACCACGACAGCCAGUGCAGCUCUAACUAAAACAACUGCUGCUCCAACGACCACUACAACUUCUGAACCUAUAACGACAACUGCUGCAGCUCCGACUACUCCAACUGCUAUUCUUACAACCACCACGACUGCAGCACCAUCUUCAACAACUACAACUUUAGCUCCUACGACAACCACUUCAACAGCACCUACUACAAUACCUGCAGUUCCUACAAUUGUAGCUCCAGCUACCACUACACCUGCUGUACUUACUACAACAGUCACAACUGCAGCUCCUGUUACAACAACUGUAGCUUCUACGUCAACCACAGCAUCUGCCUCUACGAUUACCAUUGCAGCUCUAACUAAAACAACGGCUGCUCAUUCGACCACUACAUCUCCAGAACCUGCUCUGACAGAACCUACUCCUACUAAUGCUACGACUGCAGAACCUACCACGACAGCCAGUGCAGCUCUAACUAAAACAACUGCUGCUCCAACGACCACUACAACUUCUGAACCUAUAACGACAACUGCUGCAGCUCCGACUACACCAACUGCUAUUCUUACAACCACCACGACUGCAGCACCAUCUUCAACAACUACAACUUUAGCUCCUACGACAACCACUUCAACAGCACCUACUACAACACCGGCAGUUCCUACAACUGUAACUUCAGCGACCACUACACCUGAUAUACUUACAAUAACAAUCACAACUGCAGCUCCUGCUACAACAACUGUAGCUUCUACGUCAACCACAGCAUCUGCCCCUACGAUAAGCACUGCAACUCUAACUAAAACAACGGCUGCUCCAAUGACCACUACAUCUCCAAAACCUGCUCUGACAGAACCUACUCCUACUAAUGCUACGAUUGCAGAACCUACCAUGACAGCCACUGCAGCACUAACUAAAACAACUGCUGCUCCAACGACCACUACAACUCCUGAACCUAUUAUGACAACUGCUGCAGCUCCGACUACGCCAACUGCUAUUCUUACGACCACCACGACUGUAGCACCAUCUUCAACAACUACAACUUUAGCUCCCUCGUCAACCACAACAACUGCACCUACUACAUCACCUGCAGCUCCUACAAUUGUAGCUCCAGUUACCACAACACCUGAUGUACUUACUACAACAAUCACAACUACAGCUCCUGCUACAACAACUGUAGCUUCUACGUCAAGCAUAGCAGCUGCCUCUACGAUAACCACUGCUGCUAUUACUACAAAAACUGCUGCUCCAAUAACCACUACAACUCCCGAAACUAAUACGACAGAACCUACUGCUACGACUGCUUCGACUGCAGAACCUAUCACGACAGCCACUUUAGCUUCUACGACAAAUUCUACGACAGCCACUGCAGCUCUAACUAAAACAACUGCUGCUCCAACGACCACUACAACUCCUGAACCUAUUAUGACAACUGCUGCAGCUCCGAUUACACCAACUGCUAUUCUUACGACCACCACGACUGUAGCACCAUCUUCAACAACUACAACUUUAGCUCCCUCGUCAACCACAACAACUGCACCUACUACAGCACCUGCAGCUCCUACAAUUGUAGCUCCAGUUACCACAUCACCUGCUGUACUUACUACAACAAUCACAACUACAUCUCCUGCUACAACAACUGUAGCUUCUACAUCAACCACAGCAUCUGCCUCUACGAUAACCACUGCAACUCUAACUAAAACAACGUCUGCUCCAACGACCACUACAUCUCCAGAACCUGCUCUGACAGAACCUACUCCUACUAAUGCUACGAUUGCAGAACCUACCACGACAGCCAUGUUAGCUUCUACAACAAACUCUGUUGUUCUUACGACCGCAAUGACUGCAGCACCUUCUGAACCUGUUAUAACAACCGGUGCAGCUCCUACUACACCAGCUGCUAUUCUUACGACCAACACGACUGUAGCACCAUCUUCAACAACUACAACUUCAGCUCCUAUAACAACCACGUCAACAGCACCUACUACAUCACCUGCAGUUCCUGCAACUGCUGCUCCUAUAACCCUUUCAACUCCAGAACCUAUUGUAACAGAACCUACUUCUACUACUGCCACGACUGCAGAACCUACGACGACAUCCACUGCAGCUCCUACUACAACAUCUGCUGUUCUUUCGACCUCAACGACUGCAGCACCUUCUACAACAACUACAACAUCAGCUCCUACGACAACCACAACAACAGCACCUACUACAAAACCUGCAGUUUCUACAACUGUAGCUCCUACUACCACUACAACUGCUGUACUUACUACAACAAUCACAACUGUAGCUCCUGCUGCAACAACUGUAGCUUCUAUGUCAACCACAGCAGCUGCCUCUACGAUAACCACUGCUGCUAUUACUACAAAAACUGCUGCUCCAAUAACCACUACAACUGUAGCUCCUACUACCACUACAACUGCUGUACUUACUACAACAAUCACAACUGUAGCUCCUGUUACAACAACUGUAGCUUCUACGUCAACCACAGCAUCUGCCUCUACGAUAACCACUGCAUCUCUAACUAAAACAACUCCUGCCCCAACAACCACUACAUCUCCAGAACCUACUCCGACAGAACCUACGACCACUACAACUCUAGAACCUAUUAAGACAACCACUGCAUCUGUGACAGAACCUACUUCUACUACUGCUACGACUGCAGAACCUACCACGACAGCCACUGCAGCUCCAACUACAACAUCUGCUGUUCUUACGACCACAACGCCUGCAGCACCUUCUACAACUACUACAACUCCUACUCUUAUGACAACCACAACAACAGCACCUACUACAACACCUGCAGUUCCUACAACUUUAGCCCCCACGACCUCUACACCUGCUCUACUUACUACAACAAUCACAACUACAGCUCUUGCUAAGUCAACUGUAGCUUCUACGUCAACCACAGCAGCUGCCUCUACGACAACCACUUCAGUUCUAACUACAACAAGUGCUGCUACUACGAUUACUACAACUCCAGAGUCUACAACCACAGAACCCACUCAUAUGACUCCUAUAACUGCAGAUAUUUCCAGAACAACAACUGCAGCUGCUACUACAACAACUACAACGUCAUUGCAAACAACAACCACAACAACACCACCUACUACAACACCUGCAGUUCCUACAACUGUAGCUCCUACGACCACAACACCUGCUGUACCUACUAUAAUAAUUAUAACUACAUCUCCCGCUACAACAACUGUAGCUUCUAUGUCAACCACAGCAGCUGCCUCUACGAUAACCACUGCAGCUCUAACUAAAUCAUCUGCUGCUCCAACGACCACUACAACUUCUGAACCUGUUAUAACAACCGGUGCAGCUCCUACUACACCAGCUGCUAUUCUUAUGACCAACACGACUGUAGCACCAUCUUCAACAACUACAACUUUAGCUCCUAUAACAACCACGUCAACAGCACUUACUACAUCACCUGCAGUUCCUGCAACUGCUGCUCGUACAACCCCUUCAACUCCAGAACCUAUUAUAGGAGAACCUACUUCUACUACUGCUACGACUGCAGAACCUACCACGACAGCCACUGCAGCUCCUACUACAACAUCUGCUGUUCUUACGACCACAAUGCCUGCAGCACCUUCUACAACUACUACAACUCCUACUCUUAUGACAACCACAACAACAGCACCUACUACAACACCUGCAGUUCCUAUAACUUUAGCCCCCACGACCUCUACACCUGCUCUACUUACUACAACAAUCACAACUACAGCUCCUGCUAAGUCAACUGUAGCUUCUACGUCAACCACAGCAGCUGCCUCUACGACAACCACUUCAGCUCUAACUACAACAAGUGCUGCUACUACGAUUACUGCAACUCCAGAUUCUACAACCACAGAACCCACUCAUAUGACUCCUAUAACUGCAGAUAUUUCCAGAACAACAACUGCAGCUGCUACUACAACAACUACAACUUCAUUGCAAACAACAACCACAACAACAGCACCUACUACAACACCUGCAGUUCCUACAACUGUAGCUCCUACGACCACAACACCUGCAGUACCUACUAUAACAAUUAUAACUGCAGCUCCUGCUACAACAACUGUAGCUUCUCUGUCAACCACAGCAGCUGCCCCUUUGACAACCACUGCAGCUCCUUUGACAACCACUGCAGCUCUUACGAAAACAACUGUAACUCAUACGACAACAGCUGUUGGUCCUUUGACCACCACAACUGUAGAACCUAUUUUAACAUCUACAUCUGAAGCUACAACAACAACCACAAUUACAUCAGCUAGUACAGCACCUGCAGUUCCUGCAGCAAAUGCUGCUUCUAUGACAACUGCAACUGCAAUUGUACUUCCUACCUCGACAACCAGAACUGCAACUUAUAACUCAACUUCUAUGCCUUCAGUGACAUCAACAACUAGAUUCGGCACAGUGGGAGUUUUUGUUCAACUGAUAUUCAAGGUCAAAACACCAGUCCCCACUGAGGAUGAUGUACUUGGUGCCGUCAAGAAGCAAUUGUCUCCUCAAUUCACGACCACUCAAACCACCUUCCAGAAUGCAACUUAUAUCAAACUUACAGAUACUUCAUUUGCCAUCUACCUUGGUUUCAAAAUAACCAAUGUAACCCAGGAGUCUCUAAGUAAUAGACUCACACUCACCAAUGAGACCCAAACCGAGAUACAGGAUUCAAUUAACAGACUACUCCAUAAGGUUCUCAGUGAACCAGACGGCAAACAGUUUCAAUUUCCCAACGCCAAAUUCAUUGCUGAUGGCACUGAGAUCACGGCAAACGUGACGUAUGUUUACAAAGAGGAAGAUGUCAACCACCCUAGUGGUUUUCUACAGGAAGUCUUAAAAGUCUCAGGUCUCCUGACCACCACUGUUGCCCCAACAACAACUACCAGCACCACACCACUUCCUACCCUGUUGACUUCAGUGACAUCAACAACUAGAUUCGGCACAGUGGGAGUUUUUGUUCAACUGAUAUUCAAGGUCAAAACACCAGUCCCCACUGAGGAUGAUGUACUUGGUGCCGUCAAGAAGCAAUUGUCUCCUCAAUUCACGACCACUCAAACCACCUUCCAGAAUGCAACUUAUAUCAAACUUACAGAUACUUCAUUUGCCAUCUACCUUGGUUUCAAAAUAACCAAUGUAACCCAGGAGUCUCAAAGUAAUAGACUCACACUCACCAAUGAGACCGAAACCCAGAUACAGGAUUCAAUUAACAGACUAGUAAGAUACUGUACUUCUACACAUAAGAGACAUCCAUGGUCAUGUUCAGGUCAUGAUAGUAAUUGA
rnacentral:lncRNA from 13 species